rnacentral:rRNA from 1 species
CUUACCUGGGCUCGAACGACUGGUAGUACCUUUUAUGAAAGUAGAAGGGAUCCGCAAGGAAGCCAGCCGAGGUGCUGCAUGGUUGUCGUCAGCUCGUGUCGUGAGAUGUUGGGUUAAGUCCCGCAACGACCGCAACCCCUAUUCUGUGUUGCUUGCUUUGCAAGUUCUUUCAGAAGACUGCCACGGACAACGUGGAGGAAGGCGGGGAUGACGUCAAAUCAUCAUGGCCUUUAUGUCCAGGGCUACACACGUAAUACAAUGGUAUAGACAGAGGGCAGCAAUAUCGUGAGAUGGAGCAAAUCCUUAAACUAUGCCUCAGUUCGGAUUGUAGUCUGAAAUUCGCCUACAUGAAGCUGGAAUCGCUAGUAAUCGCAGAUCA